ensembl:snRNA U6 U6 spliceosomal RNA
UCAUCUCUUAACAAUGCAUAUACUAAAACCAGACUGAAGUAGAAAAGAUUAGCAUGGCCCCUGCACAAGGAUGACCUGAAAAUUUAUGAAGCUGUCCACAUUAAG